GCUAUUCCCGGGGAAGGAGAAUUGAGGAGCAGACGAAAAAACGGGACGUGUAUAUAGUCGCGUUGGAUUUAAACGGAGAGUAUCCGGUGGGGUAUAUUUCGUGUAUGUAGUGGAAAGAUUUAUUUAACUGUUUAUUAAACGAAUGAGGUAAAAAUGUUCGUAGUCAUAAAAAGUGACGUCGCCGCCAAGUCCUUUCUUGGUACCGACAAGGAGUCAUGUAAGAUAUCACCUUGUUCUGCAGCAAGAAAGUAUUUUUCUUAUUAUGAAAAUGGGUAGACUGAAUUUAACAUAAUUUUGACCAAGAAACUCUCAGAUUAUCAUAGAGAGAUGCUACUUUUGCAAAAGCAAUCGAUAAGAGCAAAAUCAUCAGCUCGAUAUAACUUAUGAAGCACACAAGGAUGCUUGCACGUAAAGCUUAAUUUAGCUAUUUAUGCACCUUCCAAUCUCAGUUUGUUACAAAUCUUUGUCAAGCACAACACAAACAAUGAUGUGGCUUGAUAUGUGGCAGGACUACAUCUUUCUGGCAUUGAUUGAAUACUUAUAGGUACAGAAAUCAACUUUUUUCCCUAUGCUUAAUAGACUCUGGACUCUAAAUACUUACGUAUAUCCAUUAUGACAUCCGGAAAGCCGAUGCAGAUAUUUAGUGAAAGGUAAGAUUCUUUUCUUGUCUGGAUCAUAUAAAAUCACGAGCAAAAUGUUUGUAUAAGAAAGAAAAGGAAUAGAAAAAAAUGACAAGUAGUGUACUUAAGAUAAAUUUGUACAAAAAUUGUUAAUAAACAACUUUAUGUACACGCAUAUUACGAAAUGGUAAAAUUUAUAUUA